AUACAGAGGGUGCGAGCGUUAAUCGGAUUUACUGGGCGUAAAGCGCGCGUAGGCGGCUAAUUAAGUCAAAUGUGAAAUCCCCGAGCUUAACUUGGGAAUUGCAUUCGAUACUGGUUAGCUAGAGUGUGGGAGAGGAUGGUAGAAUUCCAGGUGUAGCGGUGAAAUGCGUAGAGAUCUGGAGGAAUACCGAUGGCGAAGGCAGCCAUCUGGCCUAACACUGACGCUGAGGUGCGAAAGCAUGGGGAGCAAACAGGAUUAGAGACCCCUGUAGUCC
rnacentral:rRNA from 1 species